ensembl:lncRNA
GAGGAGGGCGCAGGGAGCUGUCCCUUGCAGCAACUGGUGCAUCUUGUUUCGGAUGGUACUCUGGGUACAGGUGAGCCAGUCUGCCCAUCAAUAAAGGUGGCUGCCAGUGAAUAGGUGCUUAGACAAAAGAAGUGGGAGAGGGUGGAGACUGUUUGUUCAGUGUGAUUCAAGCAAGCAGUGCUAAUAGAAUUUGAAAGCCUCUGUGAAGUCCCUGAGUCUGGGUACGGGCGGUCCGGCGGGAUUCACCUGAGGCCUUUCAGACUCGCUGAGGGCGGGUGGUCCUGAUGGGGGUGAGAAAGCCCAGGCAAAAGCCCCACAUUCUUUGUCAGCCGGCCAGACAGGCGGAGAAAAGGUCUCAGUGGGGGUAAUUAGAUAAAGCUUUUAAAUGGCUCUAUUUGUUUUUUCCCCUGGCUGGUUUGAUAUCUCAUCUCUUCUCCCGCCUCUUUCAGAAGCUGCUGGUAAGACGGUCCUAAGAAUGUUGGAGGCUGUUAGUGGUUUCGUUACUUGGGACAUUUCAUUUUUCGUUAGGGCGGACCCUGGACAAAGUGAACUUAACCCUGCUUUUGUGGAGGCCUUGAACAAAGAUUUGAAUUUUAUCCUCAGAGCGGGAGCGGCACAGUGUGAGGGCUGGGUGGGUGUAUUAACCCAUUUUCCAGCUGUGCCAGCCUCCACCCUGUGGCUGGUAAUAAAUCAAGCCCAGGACCCAGAACUCCCAGCUCCAGCCUCACUCCAAACAACACCUGCUUUUUCAAGUCAGCUUGGCCUCAGAAGACAGAGCAUCAAAUAUACAGGGCCUGUUUAUCUGUGUGUGUGUGCUUUUUAAAUGAGACCAGAUCCUUUGACAAUAAUUGAAUGCGAAGAUGUAAGGCAAUUAAAAAAAGAAACUUUUCUAGCCUUUGGCAGCAUUUUUCUUGAUGAACAUGAUUAUAGACAUUUUUUUCCCGUAGGUUUUCUACCUCGUGAGAUCAUUGUAAGGAUAAAAUAAAUGUUUCAGAAAGUCAAAAUCUAUAUAUGGAAGAAAGUAGUGUAUUUUGAGCUCAGGAAGCUUUGUGGGUAUCCACUCUGGAUUUCCUUUCCAGAAUUGUGCACAGCUCCAGUACUCAGGCAGAGUUUAUGUUUGCUUCGAGUGCCCAGAGACAAACAGGCCAGCACAUUAUUCUUCGUGAAGUUUACUUGUGUGCUUAGUUGCUCAGUAGUGUCUGACCUUUGUGACCCCAUGGAUUGUAGCCCGCCAGGUUCCUCUGUCCAUGGGAUCUUCCAGGCAAGAAUACUGGAGUUGGUUGCCUUUUGCUUCUCUCCGGGAUCUUCCUGACCCGGGGAUGGAACCCGUGUCUCCUGCAGUGCAGAUGGAUUCUUUACCUGCUGAGCCAUCACUCAGGGAUGAAUUUUAAGGGACAGGCAGGUGGUAAGCUUUGGGUGCACUCUUUAGAGCAGUGGCUCUCAGCUUGGUGGUUCUCCCCACCGCCCUGGCGCAGGGGGUGCCUGGCAACUGUCUGGAGACCCUGAUUGCCUUGCUAGGGGAGGGGAUGCACCGGCCUUCAGUGGGUCCAGGCCAAGGAUACUGCUGCUCUUCCCACAAUGCACUGGGAAGCCCUGCAACAAAGGCUCAUCCAGCCCCAAAUGUCAGUAGGUGGAGGGUGAGAAAGCCUGCUUUAAAGGUCCAGGCCCGUGUGCCGUGUGCAGGCAGCCUGGUGUUCUCGCUGUGGGGCACGUGGCGUAUUUGGGGAUCUGGAAUUCCAUGGAGCGGGUAAGGUCUCCCUCCAGGACUAUAAGGUGCUGUGUUGGCAAGCCCAGGAUUUCACAGGAGAUUGGGGGUUGGGUAGGACAUUUCAGUGCCGUUCUGUAUAUUAAAAACCCCUUUAGUCAAUAAAAGUUCCAGAACGUUUCUGCUUCUAAAACAAGCCAGAUUCGUAGGUGCUGGGAAGGUGCUCUGAUAGGCGGUGCUUCUUCGCUCGUUUGGGAAACUGACUCGGGUGCUGUCAUCCGCCCCCUCCCUCAUGUUCUCAGUUGUGUGGAGGGUACCACCCCCACCCCCCUGACUGCUUUUCCCUCAGUGUUUGAACAAGCCCCUACUUGCUUGACAGUUCAUGUUUUCACCCUUGUAGUCUUGCUUAUUUAAGUUUUCUUAAGUUUUUGCAAAAUUCUUACAUAACUUUCCACCCUUGUUAAAGUGCAGUGUUGAGGGGGCGGGGCUUCUGUCCACACGUUUCCCUUCGAGCGGGCACCUGGCUGACCCCAGGGAGGGCUGGGGACGGAUCGAGGGGGGCAGAGACGGUAGUGAGUUUUAUGUUUUGGGGGCUUCCGGGCCUCAGAGACCCCAAAAGGAGGUUUUGGAGCAAGAAGAAGGCAGGAAGAGAGGGGGGACGAUUCCCGAAAGGGCGGGGCGGCCUGUGGUGGGAAGUGACAGUUGCCCCCAAAACCAUCUGGGCUGGCACUUACUUAAGAGAAGCGUUGCACAUUCUGCAGGCAGCUUUCUUGACAUCCUCGUCCUGCUGACAGGCUGUCAAGGUCCCUCCUGGGCUAAUGGUGGCAGUGACCUGCCCGGAAGCCACCUUUACCACGCGGCUCCUGGGGUGGUAAGAGCCUUGCGUCUGGUGCCCCGCCGCCCCCUCCCGCACCCUGUAAACCAGCCACUGCCGCUGCCUGUCUCCACUGACAGCUUUUGCCAGGCUGAGGGUCGCCUGCAGGUGCAUCAGAGGGAACUUGCAGAGAGAAGAGUCCCUCCCCCCACUUCUGGAAGGUGAACUGAAACUCACCAUCUGCCCAGCCUUCCAGGCCAGUCCCUGACUCGGGUCUCUCCCACCCCAGCCAGACCCCCCUGGACACCCCUGUGCUGUCCAACUCCAGGGUCAGCUGCCCCGCUGUCCUGACCGAGGCUCUCCUUGGGUCACAGACACCUCCCAAGUCAAUUUCCUGGCACCUUUGUGCACCCUCCGGUUGGUGGACACUAGCCAUGCGUGGGGUUUGCCGGCCGAAAAACAUCUCUUGGCUCCCUGCUGUCUGCAGGAAGAAAUCCAAACUCGUCAACUUGGCACACGAGGGCCUCGUCGGCGGUUCCCAGACGGCCUUCCUAGUUCCAGCCCUUCCCACUCCCACUCCACGCGGCGGCCACAGUGCAGGAGCUUCUGCUUCUUCGUGGAUCACUCACUUGGCUCUGUCCCCACCCCCCCAUCUCCUUGCGAACAUUUCUUCACUCUUCUUUCAAGACCCAUCUUAAAUACCACCUUUUGCAUGGAGAAUCAGGUCCUCCAUCAGAAUAACCCUUACCCCAUCUGGCCGGUGUGUCUGUUGUAAUUUACCUGUUGGCAUGUUCUCCCCAUCUGGAGAAUAGGCAGUGACUUCAAAUCGUAUUUUUCCGUUUUCUGUACCUGGCUCAAGGGUUGCAUUUGUUGCUGUUUGUUAGCCACUCAGUCGUGUCCGACUCUUUUUCGACCCCAUGGACUGUAGCCCGCCAGGGCUCCUUCGUCCCUGGGAUUUCCCAGGCAAGAAGACUGGAGCGGGUUGCCGUUUCCUUUUCCAGGGGAUCUUGCCGACCCAGGGAUUGAACCCGCAUCUCUUGCAUUGGCAGGCAGUUCUUUACCAGUGAGCCAUCUGGGAAGCCUCAGGGGUUGUGUAGUUGAUGCUUAUUCAGUAAUUAUUGUUUAAUCCAUUUUCAAAUACAAAAAAAACAGAGUUUUUCUGAAGAGGUGAAGGUUAUUUUUGGAAAAGAGCACUAUAAUUUGAGAAGCUAAGUCCUAAAUAUCGGUACAGAUUAAGAGAAGGAAACUAAAGUUUUCCAGCAAACCCGUCUCCCAGAAAUUGGGUGCUAAGUGCACACUGGUGGGAAAGUGUUUUGAAUUACAGAAAUUUUAAAAUAAAAGUUUGCUCAGCUUAAUUUACUCAGAAUUAAAGAGAAAGAAAACGUUGUUAAUGCCUGAUUGCUCUAAAAGCUGUCACACUGGGGCCCUUACUAAUUAUAACCACUUUUCAUGGCUCUUGGUUUGAAGUUUAUAUUAAAUAGGAGAGAUGGGCACACAGAUCAAAGACCAGAAUCAUUUCAGAGCUCCAAUGUGUGGGCCCAUUUUCUCUGCUUAGUUAGAUUUUUGUUUCAUUAGUGGUAUGAGUUAAUAGGAGUGUUGGUCUGUAUAUAAUUUAACUUUUCUUUUUUGCCAUUACUGCUUGGAUUUAACACAAAAUGCCAAACCAGAAACCUACAGGGUACAGAUCUUGCUUUAUUUGAGUCUGUGUGCACACAAUAUACAUUCAUACUUACAUGAUAGAAGUUGAUUAUAGAUCAUAUUUAUAGAAAGAAUCAUUUCCACUAUUUUAUGGGAAAUUCCUUUAUGCUGAAACUUUAUUGUUAAAAAAAAAAACACAAAUACUGCGAAUACACAAAAUCAUCUCAAAAUCUUUUCUUAGCUUUUUUCUAAAAGAGGUCUUCAGAAAUAGGGGAAUAUGGAAGACAACGCAAAGAUAGGGUGAGAGAGGCAUUUUAUGGAUCCUUUUAUACCUUUAUAUUUGUAACUAUGUGGAUAGGUUUCCUUUUCAAAUAAGGAAUUAAGUUUUGUUGUUUUUUUUCACAUUAGAAGAUCUUACUAUCCUUUAUACAAGAUAAAAUCCUAGUCAAUUGAAAGUACAUUAUUGCUACCCUUAAAUAUUCCUUAAUGUCCUCACCCGAUAACGAGUUUAGGCUCAGAUCUGGCAGAUACAUUCAAAUAUAUUAGUCCAGCUUCAUCUUAUUUCUAAGGAGACGUGUAUAUUUUCCUCUCGUGUGAAAAAAGGUGUUUGUUUUUUUUUUUUUAAGCCAUUUUCUCUUUGGCUUUAGGGCUUUUGAUUGUUUGCAAGGGUAAUUACGUAAAACUGCCUAGUGAGCAUCUCAAACAGGUUUUCACAACUUAGUCAGUUAAAACUACGUUGGAUCAAACUGUUCCACUUAACAUUUUGAAGCAAGUAUAAUUUAAAGGAGGCUCAGCUCGCACACCUUAGUCUAAGUUACACUUGUUUUUAAAGUCAUGAAAAUAAAGUUUCUGGAAACUGUUUGUUGUUUGAAAGCUUACCUCUGUCCAUGGAAUUCCCCAGGCAAGAAUAUUGGAGUGAGUAGCCAUUCCCUUCUUUAGGGGAUCUUCCCAACCCAGGGUCUCCUGCAUUGCUUAGUGAAAGUCACUCAGUCCAUGGAGUUCUCCAGGUCAGAAUACUGGAGUGGGUAGCCUGUCCCUUCUCCAGCACAUCUUCCCGUCCCAGGAAUUGAACUGGGGUCUCCUGCAUUGCAGGUGGAUUCUUUACCAACCGAGCUAUCAGGCAGGCAAACUCUCACCAUUGGAGCCGCCAGGGAAGCCCCUGGUGAAGCUUUACAAUCCUGUUUUCCUAAAAUACUGCAUUGAGUUGGAUUCAGUAUCCCAUUCAGCCUCCUUUUGGAAAACAGGCACUUCCCACCCCUAAAUUUGCAAACCUCGUAGUGCUUUUUUUGUUUUUUAAACUCAUAGAUCUUUAUUUAUUCAACAAAUUUGAAUUUCAGCAAUGCGACAGCUGUGAUAAGCACCAAGGAUAUUACUAGUGUGAGGAAGAGGCAGUGGCUAGCUUCGCAGAGAUGGAAAGACACUGGACCACUGAGUGGCCUGCGUCCGGGCGGCGUGUUCGGUGCUGCAGGGGCGUGGGAUGUGUUGACGGGAUGAAGGAUGCCGAGAGGAAGGGGCGGAAGGGGCGUGCAGGGGCACGGACGGUGAUGCUGACGCCCUGAGGUUGGUGAGGAGGCCGGAGUGCGGAGAGGAGCCCACCAGGCCUAAGGACCGUGUGUGGUGCGGUGGGCGGGGCCGGAGCCGCGGCGCCUCCCUCGCAGGUAUCUGGAGUUUUCCCUGAAGAACUCUGGGAAUCCUUGCAGGGUGUCAGGCCAAGGACUGGCAUGAUGAGAUUUGCAUUUUUAAAGACCACUCCUGGCCAGAGUGGAAGCAGCAGCUCUUCCGCCUUCUGUUUGCAAGACCCUCGAGGUUAGUGGUUCGCGGCUUUGAGAAGCGGCGGCGGUGCGAACUGGCUGGCAGUAGAGGUGGGAGCCUGGGUGGCUUCGGUGGAGGUGGAGGCCGGAGGAAGGGCCGGAGGCUGGGCGACAUGAUUUUCAGGCCUCUGGCUUCCCUGCCGGCCGGCUGGUGCUGCCCCUCUCCGGGAUCAGGUUGCGGGAUAAAGCCAGGUUUAUGAACCAGGUAUGAACCAGGUAAAGGGCAGGGUUCCCUGCCCUUUAAAGAAGUGAUGUGUUUGAACUUUAUCACCGUUUUCUCUACUUGGACUGUUUUCAUGGGUUAAAACGUUAAUGUACCUGGCGUGGGUGACUCUCAGAAAGGACUUCUAUAAAAAUGAGAGACAGAAGUGAGGCUCUUACCUAUGGCUGCCUCCUCCCCUCCCCUCCCUCCUCUUCUUUCCUUUUUCUCCUUUUUAAUUUCCUGAGGCCAAAAGGAAGUUGGAAGAGUUCUUGCCGGUUCCGAAUGGUUUUCAGAUGAGACAUAGGACUAAAGUCUUGAGCACAUUUAAGUUUCUGUUUGCUUUAGAGAUGCUUUAUCUCUUUGACUUGAGCCUGGGGCUCAGGGGCAGAGGCUGCAGGUAAGAACUGAGGCAGGACUCUCAAACUUACCCCAGUUUUCCCCUGAAGAGGGUCAGAACUCUUCUGCUGACCUGACUGUCCCAACUUUCCUUAGUUUUACAGUCCCCACUGAUGCUCUGAGUGUGUUAGAACGACAUCAGUAUUUUGCUUGACCAGUAAUGUGUGUGGAAACAAAGUCCCUUCAGUGAACCAAACUUGCCGCGUGUCUCCCAAGGGUGCCAAAGGAAGAGAGUCCAUCCUUGCCCAGGGCUGGUCGCCACUGAGCCGCGGUCCAGCCUGUGUCGGACCAUCUCCGGUGAUGGCAGAUUUGCCGUCUGUUCCGAGGCAGUCCAUGGAGUUUUACUGCAUUAGUUACCUUUUUUUUUUUUUUUUUUUAAAUUCUUCUCAAGGCAAACAGAAUCUUUUUGGAAUGGAGCUAGAAAGUGGUGUCUUUUCUGCUGAGUUGGUGAAAGCUAGGAGCUGGAGGACAGGCCGCUGCCUUGUGCAAUCUGACCCCCAGAGAGUCCCUGGGGACUGACUGCCACCCUCCUGACUUCCUCCUGCACUCGGAUUCCUGCUUCGUGGGGGGGUGGGAGGGGGUCCUGCCUCACUUGGCCUGCACGGCCAUCCUCUUGGGUGUGAGCUAGAACUCCUUUCUUCCAUCAGCCCCCAAGAAAGCAUGAACAGUGCUGCUGGAUUUGAGCAAAGCUUCUCUCCGAAGUCAUAGAAAUGACUCAUCCAAACCACCCGUGAGCCCCAGUCUGCCACCCCCCGCUCCCCACUUCUCUUUUCUAUGGGAUCCAUCCUGACCCAGGUCACCCCACCGCUGGUCCCCAGAGAGCGCUGCCCCACUCAGGGAGAGCAUGAUUUUUCAUCCUUUGCUUAAAGAGCACGGAUGUUCCCGCAUCAGCAACCUCACUCUUAUUUGUACGGAUGGCACACUUUAUCCCAGCCGUACAUGUGAUAAGAUGAGCUGAUGAAGGGAAGAGCUCCACAGAGACCUUGCCUCUCCCACUCUUUCCAGCUGAAACACCUUGGUGAGGGUGUGCUGGGAAGGGGACUUGAGAAACGGAGUUUAUGGCAUCUUUUAGAAAAUUUAAAUCUUAAGGUUCAAUUGUACGCAGCUCAGCCCCUCACCUCAUCAUGACCCAAGCGGAAGUGUGGAUUUGGAGAUCUAAUACAUCUGUCACAAAAAUAGCUUACAGGGAUGGCCUUGUAAUGUGUCCAGAAUUGGGGUGGGUGGUACGUGCAGUAGCCAGUUCACGAUGACGAAGGUAUAAGCUCGCUUGCAGAUAACCCGCCCAUAACUGCUGGAUAAUGGUGACAGUUCUUGCUCUCUGUUGGGUGGUUUCUUUCUUUACAUGACUGUGUGUUUAAUCCCUGGUGUUGGUUCUUGAAGGGCUUGGGUGGUCAGAUUAUUGCACUUAGAGAUCAUAACCAAAAUGGCUUGGCGGGCUUUGCUGCCUUUACAGCGGAUGGAAUCUGGGGAGGUUCCUUUGGCUGGCUGGGAAGUCUAGUGUUGGCUCCUGCUGUGUCCUGUAUCUACAGACAGCAGAGGACAGAGAAAUCCAGUAGAAACUGUGACCUGGUUAUUCAUAUGAUAAACAAAUCACCGAGAGUGCAUUUAAAUACAGUCAGCAGUCCGCCCUUGGUGAAAAGCUUCAGUAGUCAAAGCCCACCUGUAUUUGCUUUAAGUCAGAUAAACCAGAUGUUGUAUUUUAGGCCGUCUCCUGCCCGCGCUAGACUUAAUCCAUAUAUGACUCCAAUCUUAAGUAAAAAAUCUCAGGUUCCCGCACUUUUUCACCAUUCUGUGGUGGUUAGGUUUUUCAUCUGGAAAAACACUCGCGUGCUGGGGGAAGCAGUCCUGUGAACUAAGGUUUCAGGCACACACCAGUUAUGUCGUUGUCCUGAACUCUUGACGUGGGUCAUCCCAUUCCGUCUUCACACCCCCUCGUGGCCCCCAGGAUGUAGGUAGGAUCAUUAUUCUCUUUAUUUAGAGGAGGAAACAGACCCAGUGAGACAGCCAGCUCAUCGUCGUCGAACAGCCUGAGCCCAGAGCCCAUGCUGGCGGCCAGUGCUCCGCUUCUCCCACGAUGCCUUGACAUUGUCCCCAAGUGAAUAUGCCCCGAAAGCCUGUUGUGUAGAGCCGUGCGGUACACGGCAAGAGGAGAGUCAGGGACAUGCAUGGGACAAAGCUGCUGGCUCUUGGAAAUAGCAGAUUAAAACCCAACCUGUGAAACGAGUCUAUGUGGUUUUUAGACCAUCACUUCUGUGGAAGAUCAAUGGGGAGGGGAGGGUUGCUAGAGAGAGAGGCCUACAAAGGUGCUUCAUUGUUGAAUUGCUAAGUCCAGCUCUUUUGUGACCCAUGGAUUGUGGCCCACCAGGCUCCUCUGUCCACGGAAUUCUCUAGGCAAGAACCCUGGAGUGGGUUGCCAUUUCCUUCUCCAGGGGAUCUUCCCAGUCCAGGGAUCGAACCUGGAUCUUCCUGCAUUCCAAUAGGUGGUUUCUUUGCCGCUGAGCACCAGGGCAUGGGUUGCAGAGAUGCUGCUGGUUGACAAAUCAGCCGGCAGGGAGUGGCUAUCCCAGACAGAGCACCUGGGGCCCAGGAGACCCUGCUGAGAAUGGGGAGAGGCCUUGAUUACCCUGCUGGGGGCCUCGCUGUCCCCAGGUUCCCAUCAGAUGCCCCAGGGGGUGGGGAGGGUGG